GGGGUGGUGGCGCAGUUGUCUAGCGCGUAGGUCUCAUAAUCCUGAGGUCGAGAGUUCGAGCCUCUCUCACCCCA